rnacentral:misc_RNA from 1 species
AACGCACAUUGCGCCCGCCAGUAUUCUGGCGGGCAUGCCUGUUCGAGCGUCAUUUCAACCAUCAAGCCCCCGGCUUGUGUUGGGGACCUGCGGCUGCCGCAGGCCCUGAAAACCAGUGGCGGGCUCGCUAGUCACUCCGAGCGUAGUAAUACAUCUCGCUCAGGGCGUGCUGCGGGUUCCGGCCGUUAAAAGCCUUAUUUACCCAAGGUUGACCUCGGAUCAGGUAGGAAGACCCGCUGAACUUAA